UUUGCGGGAAUUCGUUAAUCUUUAAGGAUGACAAAAAUAUGAUAAAUCACGUACAAUAAGUCGCAAAGUAUAGACACGAUUGACGUAAUGUCACGUCGAAAGAGAAAAGAAAGUAAUAAUAAUUAGUUGACCUUGAUAGCAAUGGAAUCUGAAAAAUGUAUAAGUUCGAUCGUUGGAGAAUACAUCUGUGUGAAAUAUUAUAAGUCGUCAUACUGAUACGAUCAUUGAAGGUUAUAGUUGGUGUAAUCGUCGCGGCAAUUUUAAAUUCUUUACAAUUAGCAGAUAAGUGACAUUUAUAAAAGCAUGAUCAUAUACAACAAACAACAACAAAAAAAUACCGUUUGAUCACCGACUAAAAAAAUUAAAUGCAAUUGUAUAUGCAUAAGACUUGUUCUAAAGAAAAAAUAUUUCCGUGUUUUGUACUACGUAUGCAGGAUGUCAUAUAUAGAUACAGGAUUGUACAUUCACAUUCGAUUUGCACCAGCUGAAACUAUGGUUAAGAAGAUGAAUGUACUUUGAGCGAUGUUACUCAGGAUUCUGUCGGUCUUUUGUGAGAAACAAAGGCAAAAGAAUAAGGCUAGAUUAUGCAUUGACGUAGAUACUUUGCUUUCUUCAGUACUCUGAUCUACAUGAACAGGCAUCAACGAGUCAAGAUAGAAUUCCACGAAAUGUUACAUAGUCAACAAAAUUCAACAAUACAUGUCAAUAUGAGUUAUCAAUAAUUGAUAAAAAUAUUCUAUUGAUUCAAUAAUUUUUCACGCUUCAUAUACGUAUAUCUUUUCAUUUAGAUCUUUACUUGCUAAUAAUCCCUAAUCGUUCAUCGCUAAUAGAAAUAGCCUUCCCUGAUUUACAACGUUGAAUUAAAUCCGUGUAAAAUGCGACCUUGGUUUGCUAUAUGAGCAAACUUUUAUAAUACAAAUUCGUGUUGCAUUACGUGAAAGACUUACUUCUAUGUAUACGUGAGCAAAA